rnacentral:rRNA from 1 species
UGGGGAAUCUUGGACAAUGGGGGCAACCCUGAUCCAGCGACGCCGCGUGGGUGAAGAAGGCCUUAGGGUUGUAAACCCCUUUCGCCGGGGAAGAUGAUGACGGUACCCGGAGAAGAAGCACCGGCUAACCCCGUGCCAGCAGCCGCGGUAAGACGGAGGGUGCAAACGUUGCUCGGAAUGACUGGGCGUAAAGCGCGCGCAGGUGGCCUGUUAAGUCGGCUGUGAAAUCCCCUGGCUCAACCAGGGAAGUGCAGUCGAUACUGGCAGGCUCGAGUCCCGGAGAGGGUGGUAGAAUUCCCAGUGUAGAGGUGAAAUUCGUAGAUAUUGGGAGGAAUACCGGUGGCGAAGGCGACCGCCUGGACGGGUACUGACACUGAGGCGCGAAAGCGUGGGGAGCAAACAGGAUUAGAUACCCGGGUAGUCC